GGAAAAGGGGGGCGGGGAGCCGGGGUAAUAUGUAGGGUGGGGGGAGUAAUCGGAAGUACGGGGGGUAAAGGGUGGACAGGCGGCAUGGCAAGUCAGGCGGGAAAUCCCCGGGCUUAACCGGGGAAUGGCGCUGGAAGCUACGGUGCUGGAGUAUGGCAGAGGGAGGUGGAAUUCCACGUGUAGCGGUGAAAUGCGUAGAGAUGUGGAGGAACACCGAUGGCGAAGGCAGCCUCCUGGGCCAAUACUGACGCUCAUGCACGAAAGCGUGGGGAGCAAACAGGAUUAGAUACCCCAGUAGUC
rnacentral:rRNA from 1 species